GUGGGGAAUAUUGCACAAUGGAGGCAACUCUGAUGCAGCGACGCCGCGUGAGUGAAGAAGUAUUUCGGUAUGUAAAGCUCUAUCAGUAGGGAAGAUAAUGACGGUACCUACAGAAGAAGCCCCGGCUAAAUACGUGCCAGCAGCCGCGGUAAUACGUAUGGGGCAAGCGUUAUCCGGAUUUACUGGGUGUAAAGGGAGUGUAGGCGGCAGUACAAGUCAGGAGUGAAAACUUGGGGCUCAACCCCAAGACUGCUUUUGAAACUGUACAGCUAGAGUGUAGGAAGGGCAAGCGGAAUUCCUGGUGUAGCGGUGAAAUGCGUAGAUAUCAGGAAGAACACCGGUGGCGAAGGCGGCUUGCUGGACUAUAACUGACGCUGAGACUCGAAAGCGUGGGGAGCGAACAGGAUUAGAAACCCUAGUAGUCC
rnacentral:rRNA from 1 species